UACGGGGGGGGCAAGCGUUGUUCGGAAUUACUGGGCGUAAAGGGCUCGUAGGCGGCCAACUAAGUCAGACGUGAAAUCCCCAGGCUCAACCUGGGAACUGCGUCUGAUACUGGAUGGCUUGAAUCCGGGAGAGGGAUGCAGAAUUCCAGGUGUAGCGGUGAAAUGCGUAGACAUCUGGAGGAAUACCGGUGGCGAAGGCGGCAUCCUGGACCGGCAUUGACGCUGAGGAGCGAAAGCCAGGGGAGCAAACGGG
rnacentral:rRNA from 1 species